ensembl:lncRNA
GAAAACGCGUGAUUUUCGGGUUAAAUGGGGGAUUAUCGAAGAGAAAACGUGUGAUUUUCGGGUUAAAUGGGGGAUUCUUGAAGAGAAAAUGCACAACUUUCGCUUAAAGGUGGGAUUCUCAAAGAGAAAACGCGUGGUCUUCCGGUUAAAUGGGGGUUCUUGAAGAGAAAAUGCGUGAUUUUCGGGUUCAAUGGGGGAUUCUCGAAAAGAAAGCGCGUGAUUUUCGGGUAAAAUGGGGGAUUUGCGAAGAGACAACGCAUGAUUUUUUCUUAAAUGAAGGAUUCUCGAAUAGAAAACACGUGAUAUUCGGGUUAAAUGGGGGUUUUCUGAUGAGAAAAUGUGGCAUUUUUGUUUAAAUGGCGGGUUUUCAAAUAGGAAACGCGUGAUUUUCGGGUUAAAUGGGGGAUUCUCGAAAAGAAAAUGCCUGAUUUUCGGGUUAAGUGGGGGAUUCUCAAAUAGAAAGCACGUGAUUUUCAAGUUAAAUGUGGAUUUCCAAAGAGAAUACGUGUGAUUUUCUCUUAAUUGGGGGCUUUGGAAGAAAAAACGUAUGAUUUUUGCUUAAAUGGGGAAUUCUCGAAGAGAAAGCGUGUGAUUUUUGCUUAAAUGGGGGAUUUCCAAGGAGAAAACGCGUGAUUUUCGCUUAAAUGGGGGAUUCUCGAAGAGAAAACUCAUGAUUUGCGGGUUAAAUGGGGGAUUCUCGAAGAGAAAACACGUGAUAUUCGGGUUAAAUGGGGGUUUUCUGAAGAGAAAACGCGGCAUUUUUGCCUAAAUGGGGGGUUUCCGAAGAGGAAACGCGUGAUUUUGGGGUUAAAUGGGGGAUUCUCAAAAGGACAUGCAUGAUUUUCGGGUUGAGUGGGAGAUUCUCAAAAAGAAAGCGCGUGAUUUUCGAGUUAAAUGAGGAUUUCCAAAGAGAAAGCGCGUGGUUUUUGGGUAAAAUGAAGGAUUUGCGAAGAGAAAUCACAUGAUUUUUGGGUUAAAUGGGGGAUUCUCAAAGAGAAAACUCAUGAUUUUCGGGUUAAAAGGGGGAUUAUUGAAGAGAAAACGUAUGAUUUUUGCUUAAAUGAGGGAUUCUCGAAUAGAAAAGGCGUGAUUUUUGCUUAAAUGGGUAUUUCUCGAAGAGAAGAAACGUGAUUUUCAGCUAAAACGGGGGAUUAUCGAAGAGAAUGUUCGUGAUUUUCGUUUACAAGGAGGAUUCUCGAAGAGAAAACGCGUGAUUUUCAGGUUAAAUGGGGGUUUUCCGAAAAGAAAACGCGUGAUUUUUGCUUAAAUGGGGGAUUCUCA